GGACUUGACGGUACCCCAAAUCCCCCUAGAGGAGCUUGUCCUAUAAUCGAUAACCCACGUUUUACCUCACCAUUUCUAGCCCAUCCGCCUGUAUACCUCCGUCGUCAGCUUACCACGUGAGCGUUAAUCAGUGAGCUUAAUGCUAUUUCACCAAUACGUCAGGUCAAGGUGCAGCAAAUGAAGUGGAAAGAGAUGAGCUACACUUUCUAAUUUAGAAGAGACGAAAAACUACCUAUGAAAUCUAGUUGGAAGGCGGAUUUAGCAGUAAAAUGAAAUCAGCAUGUUCAUCUUAACUCGGCACUGGGGUGUGU
rnacentral:rRNA from 1 species